GAAGGCUGUCUGCGGCAGGGGGCCCCACCUAUAAGCUUCACACAUGACUCAGCCUACACAGGGAGAGAAAGCACAUAACAGUUCCACAGCGCCCAUGGUCUCCUUUGAAUGGUAAAGCGCUGUGAUGCCUUUGGCACAUUCUGAAUCCCUGAAGGUCACCUAGAGAAGAUACUACACCUGGCCCAGCACACUUGGAUGAUGGGUAGAGGGAAAGCCUGUGCUACAUUGAUGGACAGUGGCCAGAAAAAGCCAGACACAGAGGAGGGCCCCAGGAAGUGAGGAAUAGCAUGGCUGGAAAGUUUCCUACCUGGCAUGAGUCACCUGUGUAGUCAGGGGGACAGGCACACAUCUCCACAUGAUGAGCUCUGGCUCCACUUCCCAUGUCAGAGGCCUCCUCCAGCCCUACCUCACCCAGGGUAAGCCGCUGUGUCUCCGUGAAGCGGAGGCCCCGGAUAUACAGCCCUUCCAGUCGGGACAGCACAGUCAUCAGCUCUUCCCGGGACACCGGGGCACUGUUGCCCGCAUGUCUGAAGUUUCCCUGCACAGCAAUUGGAGACUUCCUUAGGCAAGGUCAUUUCCAGAGAGAAAGGCCCUGGAAAGGGUCAAACUGAAGACAUUCAGAAUGUAUUAAGGGAAAAGAGUCAAAGAAAGAAAGAUGGGGAAGUCCUUCCUGGCACACAGUCACUCUAGGCUACUCCAUGAAGGGGAGUAGCCUGGACCAUGACCAGCGCCGCCACGCCUUUGUAAAUGUAUUUUAAUCUGGGAAAAUAUGAAGUCAGUGAUGAAGAUGCAGGAAGAAAAAGUGGCUACAGCAGAUUUUUCCAGUCUAUGUAGCAUAUAUGUAUGAGUGCAUAUAUGUCAGAGUACAUGUGGAGCUCAGAAGACACCGUGCAGGAGCCAGUCCUCUCCGGGAACUGAACUUGGGUCCUCAGGCUUGCUGGCAGAUGCCUUUACCUGUUGUGCUAUCUUUUCAACCAUCUUCUGGUAGUUUGAAUAGCUCAUACACUACCCAUGGAUCACCAGCAUUCAUGUUACUGAGGGCUGCUAGCAUGUGAUGGAUCAGUGCUUUGGCAGUUCUCUGACUUCAUCUUUCUACAUGUAAUUUAUAAUAUUUUGUGUAGACCUCUUCCAUCUAACCUAUUUAGAGCUUGGGGGUUUGGUGUUGAUGUGUUAGUGACUCUCAUAAUUUUUUUUGUUUUUGUUUUUGUUUUCAAGACAUGGUUUCUCUGCAUUGCUUUGGAGCCCGGCCUGGAACUAGCUCUUAUAGACCAGGCUGGUUUCGAACUCAUAAGAGAGCCUCCUACCUCUGCCUCCCAAGUACUGAGAUUAAAGGCGUGCGCCACCAACGCCUGGCUGACUCUCAUCAUUUUUUGGGAAGUGAUUGCUUCUUCAAAUACUUUCCUUUCUCUUUCUGGCAUCUCCAUUAUAUACUCUGGUACACUUGAGCUCCUCAAAGCUCUUGUGUGCCUCCAAAAGAGGAUAUAAGCAAAACCAUGUAAGUAUCAAACUCCCUGUGGUAUAUUAUAUUCUAGACUACAUAGUGGGGGUUUAUGCUUUUGUCAUAACAAAAUGUUAUGUAGUAACUGGCUUACACUACAUAGUUUGUCAUGGUGCUGGAAGCUCCGAGUCCCACAUGAAGCUACUGGCUGCUUUGCCUCCUGGUGAGGCUCUCUUCCUGAUUUGUAGACAACCAUUGUCAUUGCAUGUUUACAUGGUGAAAAGAAAGCAACUUCUCUGAUGGGCCUUUUGUAUGUAGGUUUAUUUUUAAUUAUUUAUCUAUGUGUAUAUGGCAGUCUGCACGUGCAUGUACAUGCAUGGAGGUGUUUACAGAGAGCAGAGGAGGGUACUGAAUCCCCCACAGCAGGAGUUACAGGACGCUGUAAGCCACCUAAUCUUAGUAUUGGGAACCAAACUCAGGUCCUCUGCAAAAGCAGCAAUGCUCUUAACCAUGGAACUAUCUCUCUAACACUAAAGCACACGAGCUCUCUGGUUUUUCUGGGCAUGAGAGAUGGCUCAGUGGGUAACAGAUGGAGAUGGGAGAAUCCCUCGGACUCACUGGCCAGCCUACCUGGCAAGUUUCAGGCCAAUGAGAAAGCUUGUCUUAGACAAAAGCUAUAGUCCCUUAGCAGCUACCUCAUUGGUCCCUGUUCAUUUUUUGGUUUUUGUUUUUUGAACCAGAUCCCUGUGUGUGUGUGUGUGUGUGUGUGUGUGUGUGUGUGUGUGUUUUCUCUCUCUGUGUAUAUGCAAUCUAUAUUAAAAUGUUCUUAAAUAGUGAAAAUCUUGAUUAAAGAACUAAAACACAGAACAAAAAGACCACCAAAGACCUCUUCUGGGACUUUACCUCAACUAUUUGCAACCUCCCAUGAUGCAGCCUGUCUGGCCGUGGGUCACUGGAUUCCUUAUGGAUGAUAAAAAUAUGCUGAACAUAUUUAAAGAGAAGCAGGAAUGCAUUAGUGCCUUAGUUGGGAUGUUUUAAGGGUUAUGUUGAUGUUAGAACAGGUUUCUAUGUGGGUCUGCAUUAUAUGAAACACCUGGUCCAAAGCAGCCCAGCCCUGACUGGGUUAGCAGCCCAGACACAGGUGAACAGCAGCCAAUAUGCUACAUUUUCACACAUAUGAAAACUACAUUGGCCAAAAGUGAUUUUAAAAUAUGAAGAAAGAAUAAGAGCUGGAGAGAUGGCUCAGUGGUUAAGAACACUGGCUGCUCUUCCGGAGGACCUGAGUUCAAUUCCUAGUACCCUCAUGGCAGUUCACAACUGUCUGUAACCCAGUCCCAGGGGUCUGAUGCUUUCUCCCGUGCACAGACAGAAACACUCCCACAUGUUAACAAACAAAGUGUUUUUAAAAUGGAGAAAAGUAUUCAUUUUAAUCAUUCUUUGUAGUAAAUGUGGGAAGUGCAUUUCAUGGCUACCAAUAGGACCACGCUUUGGUGGCAGAUCGCUGGAGAGGGCCUGGAUGGAGGGAAGGCUAACAGAGCCUGGCUUUGCAGCUGGUUGUUCAGCACACGGAAGACGAGAAAGAAUGUAUGGAUGAAGACAUGGGCCCAGGGCUCCGGCCCUGCCUGUGGGACUGACCACCUGCUCUCAGCCUCUGCCCCACCCCAAUCAGUGUUUCUUGGGGGUUUUCAGAGGCCUGCAUGGGCAUAUUCAUGUCUUGCCUUGGCAGAGCCACCUAAAGUCACACACCACAGCCCAGCUGUUUUCUGUCAGUUACAAACCUGGAGGCAGUCCAUUCUUGAGGGCAGAACAUUAUCUAGGAUCACAGAUCACUUCAAACCUUAAUCUAAGGAACAUGCCCCAAAGGCUCUUAAUUACAGUGGUUUAAAAUAAAGCAACAAAGAACAUUUUUGUAAGCCUAAAUGAUUUCUAUGUCUGAAUGUAAAAUAAAGGGGAAAUUUUGGUCAUUACCUCCUAGUGUAGUCCAAUUAAAUCCUCAAGAGUAAAAACUACUUGCAGCAAUAGCUUCAGCAAUGAAAUGUGCUGCAGAACACAAGCAGAAAUACAGCCUUCUGGGACAGGACUUUCAUCACAUAACAGUUUUCCUUAUGUAACUCUGAAGUCAUUGUUGCUUAAUUUUCAAUAUGCUCUGCUAAGGUUCCUUUGAGUUUUUAUCACAACAACUCAAUACAACUGUUUACUGCUCAAAGCAAACUAUCGCUCAUCAAUGCUUGAACACAAAGAUCUACCAAGCACACAGGGCUGUGAGGAUGUAUAGGAGGCUUCUUAGCUCCCAUGUUCAGGGCAUGGUGCAAAGAAGCCUUCCAGGAAGCAGGAUUUGCCAGCACCCAUCACAACAUCUAAGGCAGAAAUGGUGGUGGGAAUGGAGCUCAGGAGGUAGGUGCUUGCAUAGCAUCUGUGAGCCCCUGGAUUACAUCUCUAGCAGCCCCCUUCCAAACAGGAGUUAGCUUCAGCCUAGGACCCCCAACCCAUAUUGCAGGAAUUUUGUCCUAUACUGUAGGGGUGCUGUGAAGAAUGGGCUCAAAAUCAUUUUUUAGACUAAACUGAAAGAUAAAACCAUAAUAAAACACAGGCAGCUUCAAAGAUGAAAAACAGCUACACUGGGAGGGGAAGAGGAACCCUUUGGGCAGAGUGCCAUGUACUAUAAAGCUCUGUGUCAGUGUCUUCAAAUCACAAAUCAAUAUAACAUUCUGCAUAGCCCCAGUUAUGGGCACUGCUUCCCACUGCUCGGCCCACACCCCAAUACCUACAGUGAGUUGCACAUCGGGUUGCUUUUCCAGAGGAACCAUGUCUCCGGGUAAGCCAAAGGACUUGGCUUGGUGGGUGUGGUGGCCACCAUAUGAGGAAACCUGAAAUUAAAAAAACAGUAUCCACAACACUGAAAAUGACCAGGCUAAUAUUCACCAGGGUGUCUGGAAAGAUGAACAUGGACCCAUCGACAAACGUGCUCUCAAGGGGGUGGGACCAAUUAUGCUGCCUUCAUCUCCUGCCUUAUGUCAUUUUUACAUUCCUGAAAAACCAGUAACACAAGCAUGUUUUUAGUGAGAAUGUACUUUCAUUAAAAAAAUAACAACCACGCUGUAUAAAGUAAGAUA